rnacentral:rRNA from 1 species
AUGGCUGCUCAUCCUGUUGAAUCAGAAGCAAGCAGUGAAACAGACAAUCACCCUUUACUGAUAGACCACAUGGAAAAUACUGCUCAUCUCGAGAUUGCAAUUGAGAGCCCAAGGGAUGAUGUUGCUUCAUCGUCAACCGCUCGUCGGGAGGAUAAUGAUGGCUUGGAUCGAUUGCCUCACAUCUCAGAAAGUUCUUCGGAGACAACUACUGCAUCUAACUCUCAAAGUGCUCCUCUAGCAAGAAGAGAUGCUAAUCGUGCUCGUCGUCGGCAAAGUCCGUUGAAUUCUAGUUGCUGGAUCUCCAUUGAGCUUGUUGUAACAGUUAGCCAGAUUAUAGCGGCCAUUUGUGUUCUGUCAUUGUCAAGGAAGGAACGUCCGCAUUCUCCAUUAUUUGAGUGGGUCAUUGGUUAUACGGUAGGUUGUGUUGCUACUCUUCCUCUUCUCUACUGGCGCUAUCUCCAUCGCAACCGCCCAACAACUGGGCAAGAACCAGCAAGUCAGAACUUCCCUCCGAACAGCAUACCUGAGUCCAAUUCUCACACAACAAAUUCGGCCCCUGGCAUGUCUGAAGCUGGUUUUGUAACUGACACAAAUGGAGUCUCGCAAAACAACGUGCUUACCAGAAAUCUCAGGGCCCAAGCUUAUGCCGAUCACUUCAGGAUGGCCCUUGACUGUUUCUUCGCCGUGUGGUUUGUUGUGGGGAAUGUGUGGGUAUUUGGUGGACAUUCCUCUGCCCAUGACGCUCCCAACUUAUACAGGUUGUGUAUAGCCUUCCUCACAUUUAGCUGCAUCGGCUAUGCUAUGCCUUUCAUUCUGUGCGCAUUGAUAUGUUGCUGCCUGCCCUGCAUAAUCUCCCUAAUGAGCUUUCGUGAAGAUCUAAACCAAAACAAAGGUGCUACUGCAGAAGCAAUCAAUGCCUUGAGAACAUACAAGUUCAAAACGAAGAAGUCCCGUAACGGCGAGGGGAUUGAAGUCGGCGGCGGAGUUGUUGCUGCUGGAACAGACAAGGAGCGGAUUGUUUCUGCUGAAGAUGCUAUUUGCUGUAUCUGCCUAGCAAGAUACUCGAACAAUGAUGAUCUCCGAGAGCUUCCUUGCACCCACUUCUUCCACAAAGAAUGCGUAGACAAAUGGCUCAAGAUAAACGCACUAUGCCCCCUCUGCAAAGCUGAGAUAGACAGUGGCCCGACAACUGCUCCUGCCAUUGGCUUUGGGCGUCGCCACAGUGACAACAGGGUAGGAAAUGACAUCGAAUCACAGCUGUAA